UGAGGAAUAUUGGUCAAUGGGCGAGAGCCUGAACCAGCCAAGUAGCGUGAAGGAUGACUGCCCUAUGGGUUGUAAACUUCUUUUAUAAAGGAAUAAAGUCGGGUAUGUAUACCCGUUUGCAUGUACUUUAUGAAUAAGGAUCGGCUAACUCCGUGCCAGCAGCCGCGGUAAUACGGAGGAUCCGAGCGUUAUCCGGAUUUAUUGGGUUUAAAGGGAGCGUAGAUGGAUGUUUAAGUCAGUUGUGAAAGUUUGCGGCUCAACCGUAAAAUUGCAGUUGAUACUGGAUAUCUUGAGUGCAGUUGAGGCAGGCGGAAUUCGUGGUGUAGCGGUGAAAUGCUUAGAUAUCACGAAGAACUCCGAUUGCGAAGGCAGCCUGCUAAGCUGCAACUGACAUUGAGGCUCGAAAGUGUGGGUAUCAAACAGG
rnacentral:rRNA from 1 species